AAAUUGAAGAGUUUGAUCAUGCCUCAGAUUGAACGCUGGCGGCAGGCCUAACACAUGCAAGACGAACGGAAACAGGAAGCAGCUUGCUGCUUCGCUGACGAGUGGCGGACGGGCGAGGAAUGGCUGGGAAACUGCCUGAUGGCGGGGGAUAACUACUGGAAACGGUGGCUAAUACCGCAUAACGUCGCAAGACCAAAGAGGGGGACCUUCGGGCCUCUUG
rnacentral:rRNA from 1 species